GGGCGUCCGUUUGGCAUGUUUUGUUUACGGCGGAUUCGGCGCUGUGACCCACGGUCCAGUUAAACGUUUCAGAGUCUACUCCCGCCCCUGAGUGAAUUUGACCGAUGGAUGAAGCUGCUCUUCCCUCAAACCCCGUCUGUAGUGCACCUCCCCUCAGCGAGCCUCCUUCACCUCUCCUCUCCUUCUCCUCCGUCAC